rnacentral:tRNA from 1 species
GCGGAAGUGUCGGAAUUGGCAGACGAGCAAGACUAAGGAUCUUGUGGGCGCUUAGCCCGUGCGGGUUCAAGUCCCGCCUUCCGCA